rfam:Lactobacillus pasteurii DSM 23907 = CRBIP 24.76, type strain:CRBIP 24.76, WGS project CAKD01000000 data, contig: 10
UGAAAUUGCAGGUAAGAAUAAUAAAAAAAGCUGUAUACUCGUGCAACCGAAUUAACGUUUAAGCGAUAUGUAAUAUCGUCGGCCACGGGGCCGUCCCUUACAUGGGGGCGGUUUUUUUGAUU